UGGUUAUCAUAAAUUGGUGAA
ensembl:piRNA 21ur-740 ncRNA